rnacentral:rRNA from 1 species
AAAAGAUGGUUCUGCUAUCACUCUUGGAUGGACCUGCGGUGCAUUAGCUAGUUGGUAAGGUAACGGCUUACCAAGGCAAUGAUGCAUAGCCGAGUUGAGAGACUGAUCGGCCACAUUGGGACUGAGACACGGCCCAAACUCCUACGGGAGGCAGCAGUAGGGAAUCUUCCACAAUGGACGCAAGUCUGAUGGAGCAACGCCGCGUGAGUGAAGAAGGGUUUCGGCUCGUAAAGCUCUGUUGGUAGUGAAGAAAGAUAGAGGUAGUAACUGGCCUUUAUUUGACGGUAAUUACCUAGAAAGUCACGGCUAACUACGUGCCAGCAGCCGCGGUAAUACGUAGGUGGCAAGCGUUGUCCGGAUUUAUUGGGCGUAAAGCGAGUGCAGGCGGUUCAAUAAGUCUGAUGUGAAAGCCUUCGGCUCAACCGGAGAAUUGCAUCAGAAACUGUUGAACUUGAGUGCAGAAGAGGAGAGUGGAACUCCAUGUGUAGCGGUGGAAUGCGUAGAUAUAUGGAAGAACACCAGUGGCGAAGGCGGCUCUCUGGUCUGCAACUGACGCUGAGGCUCGAAAGCAUGGGUAGCGAACAGGAUUAGAUACCCUGGUAGUCCAUGCCGUAAACGAUGAGUGCUAAGUGUUGGGAGGUCUCCGCCUCUCA